rnacentral:rRNA from 1 species
UACGUAGGUGGCAAGCGUUGUCCGGAUUUACUGGGUGUAAAGGGCGUGUAGGCGGGCCUGCAAGUCAGAAGUGAAAUCUGGGGGCUUAACCCCCAAACUGCUUUUGAAACUGCGGGUCUUGAGUGAUGGAGAGGCAGACGGAAUUCCUCGUGUAGCGGUGAAAUGCGUAGAUAUGAGGAGGAACACCAGUGGCGAAGGCGGUCUGCUGGACAGCAACUGACGCUGAGGCGCGAAAGCGUGGGGAGCAAACAGG